CUCCUCUCAGGGUUGCACCUGGAGAGUUUCCAGUACUCUACCAGUUUCGGCUACAGGACGAAGAGUCAAGCAGAGGUAUACCCAUUCCAUUCCUGGCUUGGGCAGUGACUAAUGGGUGGAAGGCAAUCUGCUACAAGU